rnacentral:rRNA from 1 species
UGACAUAAGUAACGAUAAAGCGGGUGAAAAGCCCGCUCGCCGGAAGACCAAGGGUUCCUGUCCAACGUUAAUCGGGGCAGGGUGAGUCGACCCCUAAGGCGAGGCCGAAAGGCGUAGUCGAUGGGAAACAGGUUAAUAUUCCUGUACUUGGUGUUACUGCGAAGGGGGGACGGAGAAGGCUAUGUUGGCCGGGCGACGGUUGUCCCGGUUUAAGCGUGUAGGCUGGUUUUCCAGGCAAAUCCGGAAAACCAAGGCUGAGGCGUGAUGACGAGGCACUACGGUGCUGAAGCGACAAAUGCCCUGCUUCCAGGAAAAGCCUCUAAGCAUCAGGUAACAUCAAAUCGUACCCCAAACCGACACAGGUGGUCAGGUAGAGAAUACCAAGGCGCUUGAGAGAACUCGGGUGAAGGAACUAGGCAAAAUGGUGCCGUAACUUCGGGAGAAGGCACGCUGAUAUGUAGGUGAAGCGACUAGCUCGUGGAGCUGAAAUCAGUCGAAGAUACCAGCUGGCUGCAACUGUUUAUUAAAAACACAGCACUGUGCAAACACGAAAGUGGACGUAUACGGUGUGACGCCUGCCCGGUGCCGGAAGGUUAAUUGAUGGGGUUAGCGGUAACGCGAAGCUCUUGAUCGAAGCCCCGGUAAACGGCGGCCGUAACUAUAACGGUCCUAAGGUAGCGAAAUUCCUUGUCGGGUAAGUUCCGACCUGCACGAAUGGCGUAAUGAUGGCCAGGCUGUCUCCACCCGAGACUCAGUGAAAUUGAACUCGCUGUGAAGAUGCAGUGUACCCGCGGCAAGACGGAAAGACCCCGUGAACCUUUACUAUAGCUUGACACUGAACAUUGAGCCUUGAUGUGUAGGAUAGGUGGGAGGCUUUGAAGUGUGGACGCCAGUCUGCAUGGAGCCGACCUUGAAAUACCACCCUUUAAUGUUUGAUGUUCUAACGUUGGCCCGUAAUCCGGGUUGCGGACAGUGUCUGGUGGGUAGUUUGACUGGGGCGGUCUCCUCCUAAAGAGUAACGGAGGAGCACGAAGGUUGGCUAAUCCUGGUCGGACAUCAGGAGGUUAGUGCAAUGGCAUAAGCCAGCUUGACUGCGAGCGUGACGGCGCGAGCAGGUGCGAAAGCAGGUCAUAGUGAUCCGGUGGUUCUGAAUGGAAGGGCCAUCGCUCAACGGAUAAAAGGUACUCCGGGGAUAACAGGCUGAUACCGCCCAAGAGUUCAUAUCGACGGCGGUGUUUGGCACCUCGAUGUCGGCUCAUCACAUCCUGGGGCUGAAGUAGGUCCCAAGGGUAUGGCUGUUCGCCAUUUAAAGUGGUACGCGAGCUGGGUUUAGAACGUCGUGAGACAGUUCGGUCCCUAUCUGCCGUGGGCGCUGGAGAACUGAGGGGGGCUGCUCCUAGUACGAGAGGACCGGAGUGGACGCAUCACUGGUGUUCGGGUUGUCAUGCCAAUGGCACUGCCCGGUAGCUAAAUGCGGAAGAGAUAAGUGCUGAAAGCAUCUAAGCACGAAACUUGC